GUAUCAAACUGUGCUUAGUUAUGCAAAGAGCCUUAUGAUUCUGGGAAGAGUGAUGCAGGGAUUUCCCUGAAAGCAGGAAGCAGAUAUGCCUCUGACCGAAAAUGUGACAAUCAGAGAAGAUUGUGUGUAUCACCGGAUCGGCUUCAGACACUGAGGUGGUACCCUCCGUGAGUGGGUUUUAAUGCCAAGUGAUGACGUGAUGCCACGGUCACAGGCUGUUCUCGGACUCCCGACCUCCCACAUAAACCAACUAAAGUCACCCAAAGGAAGACAGGCCGGGAAGCCUAGGAACCAGACAGUGCCAGGUCAGCAUAGGCCACCUCUGCAAGCAACACUGAGGACGACUAGUCCUCUUCCUACUGAUGAGUUGAAUGUUGUCGCCCAAAGAGUUAUGGAAACAAGUUGAAAACCUUACUGAAAAGCACUAAAGAAAACCUCAAUAAACGAAGCACCACAUCACUCUCACGCAAAGGAAAACGGCCGCAAUAAAGUGUCUGCGCGGGUGUGUGUACUCAGCCACCAGCUCUGAAACGUCGUUAGCGAACCUGAGGGACAAGGGAGUUUGUGCCGCUGAAGCAGCUCACAGCUCUCGCCUCCUCGGGAGGCACGUUUGCAGGAGCUGCUAGUGGAGAUCAUAGCGGAGCAGCUAAAAAUCCGACCGCGCUCUGAGUACAGUCCGCAAGCACCUCCUCCUUCUACCGCAGAGCGUAGCCUUUGCCAUCCUGCACCGCGAUCCUUGCCGGGCUGCUCUCGGCUCGCGGUCCUGUCGGAUGGACGUUCGCAGGAGCCCCUU